ACAUUUUCAACAACUCAUGAACUAAAAUUGAAGUGAUACAAAGAGGAUUAGCAUGGUCCUGUGUAAGAAUGACACACAAAUUCAUGAAGCAGUCCAUAUAAGA